GGGGAUUUAGCUCAGUGGCAUAAGUACCUGCCUUGUAAGCAGGCAUUGUGAGUUCGAUCCCCA
rnacentral:tRNA from 1 species